rnacentral:misc_RNA from 1 species
UGGAGCUAUACUAGCUUGGAGCUGAUAAAAUUAAACAGAAGAAAUCCAAGUUAUCCAAUAUUAGACAGAGGUAAUAUAGAGUCAUCUUAGGUUAGAAUCUUCAACCCAUCUUGACACAACUAGUCUCAAAUUAGUUGAAGUUGGAUUAUUAUUAUUACUAUUAUCCCCGGUCUCCCAUGUCUAGAGUUCUAUACACCUUCUUCAAUUCUCUUCAAGAAAAUAAACUAUAAUCUUUUUGUUUGAACCACAGUUGCUGGGGAUGUAAGUGACAGAAGACAGGGUCCUUCUCUGGAUAUCUACCAUCAACAUUUGGUAGCUAUUUAGAAAGUUUAUAUACAACGUUAUCAACAGCCCUUGCCCAAAAUAUUAGUUGGCAUACAAAUUGCCAUUAGAAGAUAAAGUGAAAUAUAAAGAAAGAUCACCUGCCAUGCAUCAUAG